CGUGUAGGCGGCUCAUCAAGUCUGGUGUGAAAUCGCAGGGCUUAACCCUGCAUAUGCGCUGGAAACUGGUGGGCUUGAGUUCUUGAGGGGAAGCUGGAAUUCCGGGUGUAGGGGUGAAAUCUGUAGAUAUCUGGAAGAACACCGGUGGCGAAGGCGAGCUUCUAUCAGAGGACUGACGCUGAGGCGCGAAAGCGUGGGGAGCAAACAGGAUUAGAUACCCUGGUAGUCCACGCUGUAAACGAUGUGCACUAGGCGUGGGGCACGUACGUGCUCUGUGCCGUAGUUAACGUGUUAAGUGCACCGCCUGGGGAGUAUGCUCGCAAGGGUGAA
rnacentral:rRNA from 1 species